GAAGAUUUGAAUUUUUCAGUGGCAGCUCCCCCGCUCCUCUUCUCUACUCAUUUUCCUCAUCUCAUCGUACUCUCUCUCCCAAAAUUUCCCAGCCCUGAUCCUCACUGCAUCUUCGCCGGCGGACCUCCUCCAUGUCGUUUUCUUUCCCGUUGUUGCCCCCUUGACAUCCUAGACACCCUGCUCCUCUUUUCCUUUCUUCUAGAUUCCAGUCGUCCUGUCGCCGUCGCACCUCUUUUCCUCUCUUCUAGAUUCCAUUCGGCCUCUCGCCUUCGCUCCUCCACGCCGCUUCAUCUAUUCUUCUUAUGCCUUGGUUUAUGUGCUCUUCUUAAAUGAAAUCGAUAUUGGUCAGGUAACAAAGCAAAGGAGAGGAAAUGGGAGACGGAUCUAAAGUUGGAAACAUGCCAAGGAAAACGCUUGCUGAUAUUAGUAACUUGCCACAGCAAAACCAAGAUAAGAGAGCUGAAUCCGUUUCAGUUAGUACUAAAGAUUACAUUAACAAGCUCCAUCAGGAAAAUCUCUCACUGGUGAAGCUUCUUGCAGAUAGAAAUAAAAUCAUUCAAACACAUGCAUUCCAGUUACAAAAACUGAAAACAGAAUGUCAACAAGUGCAGCAAAAGAAUCUCCAGCUUGCCCAAUCAAACAGUCAGAUGUUGGCGGAACUAAAUUCAAGUAAAGAUAGGCUUAAGGUGCUUCAACAUGAGCUGGGAUGCAAAAAUGGCUUGCUUAAAGCAAGGGAAUUAAAAUCUGAGGACAAAGCAAACAUAGUGAGAUGUCCGAUUUAUGGAACUGAGGUCGAAACCAUCAAACAUGACAAUGUUGGGCAAUUCUGCCUAGCAGACAACAUGGACAAUGAACCUUGUAAUAAAAAGAGGAGGCGACAAUCCAAAUCUCUGGAUCCUACUACUGUUAAACCAGUCCAACUUAAAGAGAAGAUCGAUAAGAAGAGGCAUUCUGCUAGAUUUAGAGCUGGGAAACAAGAAACAACUGAUGAUGUGUUAGAGAUAAGUGAGAAUCCUAUUGGAGAACCUGUCCAAGCUGAGAAAAAGGUCAAUAAUAAGAGGUUUAUUUCCACACUCUACUGCUACGUAAAUUUUCUGUUCAUAAAGGGCUUUUAAUUUUAAGGUCUUCUCCAAAGAAUUUAGAGAAAUGAAGAAAUGCUCCUCUCAACAGGCUUUGCUCAAGAAGGCAAUCUGCUAGUUUUAAACCUGGGGAACAAGAAUCAACUGAUGAUAUGUUUGAUAUAAAUGGUGCUUUGGGCUCUACUACGGUUACACCAGUUCAAACUGAGAUGAAGGUCGAUAACAAGAGGCAUGGUUCAAGAAGGCAAUCUGCAAGGUUUAAAUGUGGAGAACAAGUACAAGAACCAACAGAAGGCUUAUUUGAGAAAGAUGAUUCUAAAUUUCCUAUUUCUAACCUGCAUGAAUGUGGUCCAACAUCAUCAUUCUCAUCAUUGAAAGUUGAAACUGAAGAGGCACAUAGCGACCUUGGAUCUGAAGCUCAAGAAUUACAAACGUCAUCCGUUCGACCCAAGCGUCAAGCCACUGAGAAGGUUCAAUCCUACAAGGAAAUUCCACUUAAUGUCAAGAUGCGCAGACCUAAUUGAGUAGAAAUUCUUUCUCAAACUAACAUUUCAUUUUUGUUGGGGAAUUUCUUCAUGCUGCCAUUUUUAUGCGUCUUCAAAGCCUUCAUUUGAAAAGAUCUCUCAUGGAAGCAUGCUGCUAAUCACUGUAAAAUUUCAAGCUAUUGUAUUUUCUUUUAUCAUGUGUGGCUGAUGAUUUAGAGGUACAGAAAGUCAAUCUAGGUUUACUAUUGAAUUUCCAAUGAAUGUUGAAAUUAGCUAUGGCAUCAUCUAUUGUUUUCUCUCUCUCUCUAUGUAUCAGUUUGUAGGUUGGGUGUUAUUUUUUCUCAAGAAUUAUGAGGAUGAUGAAAAAUGAUAUUUAAAUCGUUGAAG
rnacentral:misc_RNA from 1 species